rnacentral:rRNA from 1 species
UACGGGGGGGGUAAGCGUUGUUCGGAAUUACUGGGCGUAAAGGGCUCGUAGGCGGCCAACUAAGUCAUACGUGAAAGCCCCCGGCUCAACCGGGGAACAGCAUCUGAUACUGGCAGACUCGAGGAUGGUAGGGGUGAGUGGAACUCCAGGUGGAGCGGUGAAAUGCGUAGAUAUCUGGAGGAACACCGGUGGCGAAAGCGGCUCACUGGACCAUAACUGACGCUGAGGUGCGAAAGCG